rnacentral:rRNA from 1 species
UACAGAGGUCUCAAGCGUUGUUCGGAUUCAUUGGGCGUAAAGGGUGCGUAGGCGGCGCGGUAAGUCGGGUGUGAAAUCUCGGGGCUUAACUCCGAAACUGCAUUCGAUACUGCCGUGCUUGAGGACUGGAGAGGAGACUGGAAUUUACGGUGUAGCGGUGAAAUGCGCAGAUAUCAGGAGGAACACCAAUUGCGAAGGCAGCUCGCUGGGACGUUACUGACGCUGAGACGCGAAAGCGUGGGGAGCAAACAGG